rnacentral:tRNA from 2 species
UUAGCUCAGCCGGUAGAGCAUCUCCCUUUUAAGGAGGGGGCCGUUGGUUCGAAUCCA